rnacentral:rRNA from 1 species
UAUGGUAAUUGCCAGCCGCCGCGGUAAUACGUAUGGUGCAAGCGUUAUCCGGAUUUACUGGGUGUAAAGGGAGCGUAGACGGAGUGGCAAGUCUGAUGUGAAAACCCGGGGCUCAACCCCGGGACUGCAUUGGAAACUGUCAAUCUAGAGUACCGGAGAGGUAAGCGGAAUUCCUAGUGUAGCGGUGAAAUGCGUAGAUAUUAGGAGGAACACCAGUGGCGAAGGCGGCUUACUGGACGGUAACUGACGUUGAGGCUCGAAAGCGUGGGGAGCAAACAGG